UAGGGAAUAUUGGUUAAUGGGCGAAAGCCUGAACCAGCAACGCCGCGUGCACGAUGACGGCCUUCGGGUUGUAAAGUGCUUUUUGGAGGGAAGAGGAAGGACGGUACCUCCAGAAUAAGUCUCGGCUAACUACGUGCCAGCAGCCGCGGUAACACGUAGGAGACAAGCGUUAUUCGGAUUUACUGGGCGUAAAGCGCGUGCAGGCGUCUGACAAGUUGGAUGUGAAAGCUCCUGGCUUAACUGGGAGAGGUCGUUCAAAACUAUCAGACUAGAGAGUGGUAGAGGAAGGCGGAAUUCCGGGUGUAGUGGUGAAAUGCGUAGAUAUCCGGAGGAACACCAGUGGCGAAAGCGGCCUUCUGGACCAAUUCUGACGCUCAGACGCGAAAGCUAGGGUAGCGAACGGGAUUAGAGACCCCGGUAGUCCUAGCCGUAAACGAUGUAGACUUGGCGUUGGUGGGGUAAAAUCCAUCAGUG
rnacentral:rRNA from 1 species